AUACGUGCAUCUCUCUUUACCUGUCGAAGUAACCCAAGAUCAAAACACCAUAUAUUGUGUCAUGGGGAACCUUAGCGACACUCUACCAGGUGCAGAAAAAGAUGAUGCAUACCGUGCUCUUCUUUUCUUGCAGUAGACAGCGAAGCUUCAAGUUCAUGACCACAGCUAUAUCUUAAUUACCAAGAUCAAGGAAAUCAACAAACGGAUUUUGGCUCGACGGCUUACCAUGAGCCUACGGGGCCUUACUCAGCUGAAAUCCACACUAUGGUUUCUCAUAUUAAA